CAACCCUCAAGCCUGGCUUGGUGUUGGGGCUCUGCAUCUGCAGUCCCUUAAAUCCAGUGGCGGACACGCUAGGUCUCCGAGCGCAGUAGUUUCUCCUCGCUCAGGGCGUCCGGCGUGGGCUUGCCUCGCACCCAUCUUAUCAA
rnacentral:misc_RNA from 1 species